rnacentral:rRNA from 1 species
UAGGGAAUCUUCGGCAAUGGACGAAAGUCUGACCGAGCAACGCCGCGUGAGUGAAGAAGGUUUUCGGAUCGUAAAACUCUGUUGUUAGAGAAGAACAAGGACGUUAGUAACUGAACGUCCCCUGACGGUAUCUAACCAGAAAGCCACGGCUAACUACGUGCCAGCAGCCGCGGUAAUACGUAGGUGGCAAGCGUUGUCCGGAUUUAUUGGGCGUAAAGCAAGCGCAGGCGGUUUCUUAAGUCUGAUGUGAAAGCCCCCGGCUUAACCGGGGAGGGUCAUUGGAAACUGGGAGACUUGAGUGCAGAAGAGGAGAGUGGAAUUCCAUGUGUAGCGGUGAAAUGCGUAGAUAUAUGGAGGAACACCAGUGGCGAAGGCGGCUCUCUGGUCUGUAACUGACGCUGAGGCUCGAAAGCGUGGGGAGCAAACAGG